rnacentral:snoRNA from 1 species
GGAAUCAACAGCAGGAAUCUGGGUGCAUUGUGACAAGAGGCACAAAACUUGUGGUCUGCCUGUGAACAAAUACCCGACACAU